CCAGCUCCAUUCUGAAAGUUGUGUAGCUGCGCUAUCAUGGCAGCAUGCCCAGGCUAAGAAACCGGUUAUUGCUGUAGGAGUAUGUGGCAAUAAUAAUGUGGCUACCUGGCUUCUGGAAGGAAGUGUGCAAGAACAAAUGGAUCUUCUGACUCUCAUUGGACAUACCUGAUACUACCACGAAUCACUGAAUCAUAGAAUCCUAAAGGCUGGAAAAAAAACAACCACAGGACAGAUACAUCUAAGGCAGAGCUGUGCAGACACCUCUAGAACUAUGCUGUUGCCACCACUGUGUGUUAAAAGUAGAGAUCUUGCAGAAAUACAAUUUGUGCUAGG
rnacentral:lncRNA from 1 species